rnacentral:misc_RNA from 1 species
AAAUUCCUCAGCUGAUAACAAGGUACCAGCCGCCACAUAACAUUGUUACCUUUCUUGUCAAGUGUCAACCCUUGCAAACAUCAUCUCAAGCACCAUCUUUGGAAUAAGUUAACCCAAUAAAUAUAAAACCAAAAAAAGAACAAAGGACAGAGAGAGCUGCAGGAAUCCAACUUGCAACACAUGCUUCCUGUUGAGAAUCCCACAUCGAAAAGAUAUGA